GUGCCAGCCGCCGCGGUAAUGCGGAGGGGGUUAGCGUUGUUCGGAAUUACUGGGCGUAAAGCGCACGUAGGCGGAUCAGAAAGUUGGGGGUGAAAUCCCGGGGCUCAACCCCGGAACUGCCUCCAAAACUACUGGUCUGGAGUUCGAGAGAGGUGAGUGGAAUUCCGAGUGUAGAGGUGAAAUUCGUAGAUAUUCGGAGGAACACCAGUGGCGAAGGCGGCUCACUGGCUCGAUACUGACGCUGAGGUGCGAAAGUGUGGGGAGCAAACAGGAUUAGAAACCCGGGUAGUCC
rnacentral:rRNA from 1 species